UCAAAACCCAUAACACACAACUGAGUUAAACUAUACUAAUAGUUAAAUCAAUACUAGAAUUAGUAAUAAGAAAACAUGAUUUUCUCCAUGCGAACCCGUAAAUCAGACCGAACUGCCACUGAUAAUAACCGACCCUAUUUUAAUGGAAGUACAACAGUAAUAGUAAACAAGAAAAACAUUAAAUACAAAAUCGUCAACCCUACACAGGCUCGCAAUUAACGAAAGACAAAAGGACAAAGAAGGAAUUCAGCAAACAUUUAGACCUCGCCUGUUUACCAAAAACAUCGCCUCUAGCUAAGACUAAUAUUAGAGGUACUGCCUGCCCAGUGAUAAUAAUUCAACGGCCGCGUAUUUUGACCGUGCAAAGGUAGCAUAAUCACUUGUCUUCUAAAUAAAGACUAGUAUGAACGGCAAAACGAAGGUCCAACUGUCUCCUUUGCCCACUCAAUGAAAUUGAUCUCCCAGUACAAAAGCUGUGAUUAAACAACAAGACGAGAAGACCCUAUGGAGCUUUAAACACACCAGAAAGUGUAACCAAUAUUUAUUUAAUCCCGCACACCAAUUCUACACUGUUUUUGGUUGGGGCGACCACGGARAUAUCCACCCUCCGAGAUGACACACCAGGAAGACAUUCCUAAAUCUCAGAAAACUGGCAUAAUUGACCCAAUAAAUUGAUCAACGAACCAAGUUACCCUAGGGAUAACAGCGCAAUCCUCUUUAAGAGCCCAUAUCGACAAGAGGGCUUACGACCUCGAUGUUGGAUCAGGAUAACCUGACAGU
rnacentral:rRNA from 1 species